GACGAACGCUGGCGGCGUGCUUAACACAUGCAAGUCGAACGAAGAGCGAUGGAAGCUUGCUUCUAUCAAUCUUAGUGGCGAACGGGUGAGUAACGCGUAAUCAACCUGCCCUUCAGAGGGGGACAACAGUUGGAAACGACUGCUAAUACCGCAUACGAUCUGACCUCGGCAUCGAGGAUAGAUGAAAGGUGGCCUCUACAUGUAAGCUAUCACUGAAGGAGGGGAUUGCGUCUGAUUAGCUAGUUGGAGGGGUAACGGCCCACCAAGGCGAUGAUCAGUAGCCGGUCUGAGAGGAUGAACGGCCACAUUGGGACUGAGACACGGCCCAGACUCCUACGGGAGGCAGCAGUGGGGAAUCUUCCGCAAUGGACGAAAGUCUGACGGAGCAACGCCGCGUGAGUGAUGACGGCCUUCGGGUUGUAAAGCUCUGUUAAUCGGGACGAAAGGCCUUCUUGCGAAUAGUGAGAAGGAUUGACGGUACCGGAUAGAAGC
rnacentral:rRNA from 1 species